AACGAACGCUGGCGGCAGGCCUAACACAUGCAAGUCGAACGCUCGUAGCAAUACGAGAGUGGCAGACGGGUGAGUAACACGUGGGAACCUUCCCUAUGGUUCGGAAUAGCUCAGGGAAACUUGAGCUAAUACCGCAUGACAUCCCCUUCACACACGAGUCGGGGAUCAAAGCCGGGGACCCUUCGGGGCCUGGCGCCUGAGGAGAAGCCCGCGCCCGAUUAGCUAGUUGGUGAGGUAAUGGCUCACCAAGGCUUCGAUCGGUAGCCGGCCUGAGAGGGCGGACGGCCACACUGGGACUGAGACACGGCCAGACUCCGUACGGGAGGCAGCAGGCGGGGUAAUUUUUGCAAGUGGGGGAAACCCUGAACAAGCAACGCCGCGUGGAGGACGACGACCU
rnacentral:rRNA from 1 species